GUAGGUGGCAAGCGUUGUCCGGAAUUAUUGGGCGUAAAGCGCGCGCAGGCGGUUCUUUAAGUCUGAUGUGAAAGCCCACGGCUCAACCGUGGAGGGUCAUUGGAAACUGGAGAACUUGAGUACAGAAGAGGAAAGCGGAAUUCCACGUGUAGCGGUGAAAUGCGUAGAGAUGUGGAGGAACACCAGUGGCGAAGGCGGCUUUCUGGUCUGUGACUGACGCUGAGGCGCGAAAGCGUGGGGGGAGCAAACAGGAUUAGAUACCCUGGUAGUCCACGCCGUAAACGAUGAGUGCUAAGUGUUAGGGGGUUUCCGCCCCCCCCUUAGUGCUGCAGCUAACGCAUUAAGCACUCCGCCUGGGAGUACGGCCGCAAGGCUA
rnacentral:rRNA from 1 species